rnacentral:lncRNA from 1 species
UUACUCGGUUGCUUGUUGUUUUGGGCUUUUUGGCCAUAGGCUUUCUUGGCAAUCUUUUGGCAAUCUUGCGUCUAAGAACGUUCUGAACGUCUAGCCUUUUACUCUUUUACCAUCCAAAGAAAUCACCGUUUAUAGUUGAGGACAUCUGGUUGAGGAUUAUCACAGACCGCUGUUGGUGUGUUUUUGUUUGAGGUAAGGUAAAUAUUUUUGCCUAAUUAUUAAUAUUCAUGACAGAAAUGAAGACCAAUUUAUACCAUGCUCUCUGUAUUUGCAUAUUAUUACUGUCUGUGAAACAAUGAUUAUAUUUUCUCACUUCAUUUGCACAUGCACUUUUAAAGCUAUAAAUGAGAUUUGUGGUUUAGACUUAGGUUGACAAAAGUUUCUGUGUGCUCAUUUUUCUUAUUAUUUUAUAUUAUUAGAUUUAUAUAUUUCUAUUUAUAGUCUUUAGACUUUACUGCUCAGUCAUUUAUAUAUAAGUGUUUUUAAGUCAAUAUUGUUUAAUAAUCUUUAAAUCUUGCUUUUAAAGUAUUUGUGUAUGUUACUACAUGUUUCAGUCAAAUGGUGUGCGUUUUAAUUUAGUUUUAUCCUUAAUAUAUUGAGUAGUUUGUUUGGGUAAAUACUAAUAGUAUUUACCCAAACAAACUACUCAAUAUUUUAAGUCUAAAACUAAAUGAAAACCCACACUAUUUGACUGAAACAUGUAGUAACAUGUUUGUUCCUUAUGUUAUUAAUAUUUGUGAGUUUUAGUUGAGCAUUGGAAUUAUUAGUUACUUGAAAGAUGUUAUUUGCACUUCACUUGGUUGAACCAAGUGAAUUAGUGUAAAUAACAUCUUUCAAGUUACCUUAGUUAUCAGAACCCAUGUACUCGAUUACCUAAUAUACAGCUAUUUCAAUUAAGGUUGUCCACGAGCAAAGCAGAAAAGUCGAAUACAGUACAAGCAUUCGACUUUUGCACUUUGCUCGUACCGGUAGACAACCUUAAUCGAAACACAGUAGCUGUAUAUAUGAACUUACGGUUACAGCUCAGCAAUUGGCUUCUGUAACUCGGCGAGUUAGAUUGCUGCACUGGAAUCGCAGGGUUGUCGGUUCGAUUCCUGCAAUCGUUCCUGGUUAGGCCUGGAAAAUAGUGCAUAUAAGGUAUAUAUACUCACUUGGAUUACAAUACAUGCCAUUUGUGUUAGCCGGUUAAUGGUUUCUUGUUAAAUUUUAGCUUUGAUUUACUGAUUUUAUCAUGUACUAUCAUUGUAAUUUAGUUUUUAUUGCAUACAUGUAUAUCUAAACAGUAAAUGUAUAUUUAAAUACAGCAUUUUCUUGGGCCAAUUUCAGAUCCACUUCAAUGAAAUUUGAAAAAUACUAAGCGUCAUCUACUUAUCGACAUCGGCUGCCAGCUAUUCAUCAUUAACAUUUCUCUAAACGUGAAACUGGCCCGACAAAUGGCUGUGUGUAAACAUACCUUAAAAUUAAAUAAGUUUUCUUCAUACCAAUACAGCAUGCUUCCAUUAUAAUGCAGUACUUUUUGGCUUUACAUGUAUUUGUUGUUAGUAUUUACCCAACCAAUUCACUCAAUAUUUUUAGUAUAAAACUCAAUGAAAAUUUAUGUCACUGCUUGUGAACAGCCCCCACUAGUAUAUCAAGUCACUUGAUUUGAUUUGAAACAUACAGUAUUUCGGGAUAUUUGUUACCAAUAGUACUGUAUGUUGGCAAAAUCUGGUGUGUGCUGGUUAUUGGUUAACCUAUAGUAAUAACUACAGUGUGUUCAAUCUAACUUACUGCACAUAUAUACAGUAAGUGUUCUUUAGGUAAGUAAGGAAUAUGCUUGUUUAGGCUGCUAUUACCGGUACUUCUUUAUGAAAAUUCAGUAGUGUGUGACACAGAUCUUUUCUGUUAAGGUGACUUAAAUACAAUAUAUGUUUACUUGUGCAAAUUACAUAAUAUUUUCACCAUAAAACUGAACGAAACCUUAUUUCGAUGCUCUAAUACUAUAUCAAGUCAUUUAAUUUUCCUGAAAACAUAUUUCUAUGUAUAUUAGAGCUGCUCCCGAUUAAUCGAUUAAUCGAUUAUUUUUCCACAAUCGAUUAUGCUUAACAGUAAUCGGAUCAUCUAUAACACCCUACAGCUUGAUGCGGGAAUGAGUUAAUUUCUUUCUGGAUUAAAAAAUUGCGACAUGAUUGUGAUUGAAACAUGAAAUAACAAAUUGAUUCAAAUUAUUGUGGGUCAAAUAUCAAUUUCACUCGCAGCGUGCAAGGCUUACCAUAGUCUGAUCGGGUUACCAGUGCUGCAAAAAUAUCGUUAAUGUUUUUUUUAUCAGAAGAAUUUAUUACCAUUUGCAUCCAACAUUGUGGCGUGCGGACAUAAACCAAUUAUCCAUAAGAGUCUGAGUCUCGCAAAUUUACUUAUGAGUGUCAAAGGUAGAUAACUAAAGUAAACAUCCUUAAUAUCGUUCCUGUCUUUUCAUGCGUGUCUCUGUAUGAAGUGUGAAAUGAAACGUCGCAAUCUAUAAUUGUGAUUAAGCGUUCAUUUUAGAUUUAAAACGUUUAUAUUGACUGGUGAACAGGGUUUUAGCUAGGAUUUUAUAUCUUGGGCGUGUUUCUAAAAUUCCAGGGUGUGCCCAUGUCAAUUGCCUUGAAUAGCCAAAAACACGAUUCCAGUAAGUCCAGUAAUGCUUGUCAACAAUAGACUAUACCUGUGGUUGUUCUAUAUACCUUUCAACCAAAUACAAGGCGAGCAUACGCUCAUAUUUUGCACUGACAUUAUAAUUAUUUCAUAAUUGACAUUAUAAUUGACAUUAUUUUAGCAACUCUUGGGACAUUAAAAGCCAUUUUAACAACCAUACGGUGCCCAUUAUCCAUCAAAACAUUAAAACAUCACGGAUCACUUUUACCAAUUUCAACAACUGCAGAUCAUUUUAUAAAGAAAUUAUGUAUGUUGUAAGUUGCAGCACCUUAUUUUAUGAACCUACAUGCACGGCCAAAAAUAAAUACUGAAGCCGUGUUCAUUCCAUCUAGCCAUAUUUUUACAUUGUUGGCCGCGUUAACACGGCCAACACGGCCUUCUAGCUAAGACCCUGCUGGUGAACCCCCCAGCCCCAAAAAUUUAGUAAAAAGUUUCAUUACAAUUUACAAACCUGUCAAAUCAUGCGGCUUGUCAUAUUUAAAUUAAUUAUCAAUACGAUUAAUCGAUAUUAAUCGAUUGUUGACAACGAUUAAUCGAUUACGAAAAUUAACCGAUGGGAGCAGCUCAAUAUGUAUAUAUAGGAUUAGGUUUAAAAUAUUUAGGUGUGUGUGCUGGUUAAGCCAAUAAUUAGUUACAUACGGUGUUUUAUUAGCGAUAAAAUAAAGGUUUACAUUGUUAUUUAAAUUUUUAGCUUUACAGCUUUAAACCGAUUUCAUCAUAUUUUCUCAAUGUAACUAUUUUUUACUGCACAUAUAUAAGUGUUCUUUAUUGAAAUAUACUGUACUUGUUUCGUGCUGCAGUUUCUGUUGAUGCAAAUCAGUCAUCUGUGACAAUGAUCUUUUCAGUUAAGGUGGCUCAAAUAUGUGUUUACCUGAGCAAAUUACUUAAUAUUUCCAUGAUAAUACUGAAUGAAAACUUAUUUCAAUGCUCUAAUACCAUAUCAAAUCAGUCAGUUUUGCUGAAAACAUGUUUCUACAUAUUGGAGACUUAUAUUGGCAAAGUUUGGUGUAUACUGGUUAAGCCAAUAAUUAGUUACAUUGUGUUUUAUUAGCCGAUAAAGGCUAAUUCUUAAAUUUUAUCUUUAAACUGAUUUCAUGAUGUUUUCUCAAAGUAACUUAGUCUUUACUGCACAUAUAUAAGUGUUCUUUAUAGGAUUAUGUUUGUUUAGGCUUCCAUUAUUUGUUUAUGAAAAUUUGGUCAUAUGUGACAAGGAUCUUUUCAGUUAAGAUGGCUCAAAUAUGUUUACCUGAGGAAAUUACUUAAUAUUUUCAUGAUAAAACUGAAUGAAAACUUAUUUUAAUGCUCCAAUACCAUAUCAAAUCAGUCAGUUUUGCUGAAAACAUGUUUCUACAUAUUGGAGACUUAUAUUGGCAAAGUUUGGUGUAUACUGGUUAAGCCAAUAAUUAGUUACAUUGUGUUUUAUUAGCCGAUAAAGGCUAAUUCUUAAAUUUUAUCUUUUAAACUGAUUUCAUGAUGUUUUCUCAAAGUAACUUAUUUUUUACUGCACAUAUAUAAGUGUUCUUUAUUGAAAUAUACUGUACUUGCUUCGUCCUGCAGUUUCUGUUGAUGCAAAUCAGUCAUCUGUGACAAUGAUCUUUUCAGUUAAGGUGGCUCAAAUAUGUUUACCUGAGCAAAUGACUUAAUAUUUCCAUGAUAAAACUGAAUGAAAACUUAUUUCAAUGCUCUAAUACCAUAUCAAAUCAGUCAGUUUUGCUGAAAACAUGUUUCUACAUAUUGGAGACUUAUAUUGGCAAAGUUUGGUGUAUACUGGUUAAGCCAAUAAUUAGUUACAUUGUGUUUUAUUAGCCGAUAAAGGCUAAUUCUUAAAUUUUAUCUUUAAACUGAUUUCAUGAUGUUUUCUCAAAGUAACUUAGUCUUUACUGCACAUAUAUAAGUGUUCUUUAUAGGAUUAUGUUUGUUUAGGCUUCCAUUAUUUGUUUAUGAAAAUUUGGUCAUAUGUGACAAGGAUCUUUUCAGUUAAGAUGGCUCAAAUAUGUUUACCUGAGGAAAUUACUUAAUAUUUUCAUGAUAAAACUGAAUGAAAACUUAUUUUAAUGCUCCAAUACCAUAUCAAAUCAGUCAGUUUUGCUGAAAACAUGUUUCUACAUAUUGGAGACUUAUAUUGGCAAAGUUUGGUGUAUACUGGUUAAGCCAAUAAUUAGUUACAUUGUGUUUUAUUAGCCGAUAAAAGGUUUAUUUUUAAAUAUUAGCUUUUAAACUGUUUUCAUCAUGUUUUCUCAAAGUAACUUAUUUUUUACUGCACGUAUAUAAGUGUUCUUUAUUGAAAUACAGUUGCUUUGUCCUGCAGUUUCUGUUGAUGCAAAUCAGUCAUCUGUGACAAUGAUCUUUCCAGUUAAGGUGGCUCAAAUAUGUGUUUACCUGAGCAAAUUACUUAAUAUUUCCAUGAUAAAACUUAAUGAAAACUUAUUUCAAUGCUCUAAUACCAUAUCAAAUCAGUCAGUUUUACUCAAAACAUGUUUCUACAUAUUGGAGACUUAUAUUGGCAAAGUUUGAUGUAUACUGGUUAAGCGAAUAAUUAGUUACAUUGUGUUUUAUUAGCCGAUAAAAGGUUUAUUUUUAAAUUUUAGCUUUUAAACUGUUUUCAUCAUGUUUUCUUAAAGUAACUUAUUUUUUACUGCACAUAUAUAAGUGUUAAUUCUUUAUUGAAAUAUACUGUACUUGCUUCGUCCUGCAAUUUCUGUUGAUGCAAAUCAGUCAUCUGUGACAAUGAUCUUUUCAGUUAAUGUGGCUCAAAUAUGUGUUUACCUGAGCAAAUUACUUAAUAUUUCCAUGAUAAAACUGAAUGAAAACUUAUUUCAAUGCUCUAAUACCAUAUCAAAUCAGUCAGUUUUGCUGAAAACAUGUUUCUACAUAUUGGAGACUUAUAUUGGCAAAGUUUGGUGUAUACUGGUUAAAUUAAGCCAAUAAUUAGUUACAUUGUGUUUUAUUAGCCGAUAAAAGGUUUAUUUUUAAAUUUUAGCUCUUAAACUGUUUUCAUCAUGUUUUCUCAAAGUAACUUAUUUUUUACUGCACAUAUAUAAGUGUUCUUUAUUGAAAUAUACUGUACUUGCUUCGUCCUGCAGUUUCUGUUGAUGCAAAUCAGUCAUCUGUGACAAUGAUCUUUCCAGUUAAGGUGGCUCAAAUACUGUAUGUGUUUACCUGAGCAAAUUACUUAAUAUUUCCAUGAUGAAACUGAAUGAAAACUUAUUUCAAUGCUCUAAUACCAUAUGAAAUCAGUCAGUUUUGCUGAAAACAUGUUUCUACACAUUGGAGACUUAUAUUGGCAAAGUUUGGUGUAUACUGGUUAAGCCAAUAAUUAGUUACAUUGCGUUUUAUUAGCCGAUAAAAGGUUUAUUUUUAAAUUUUAGCUUUUAAACUGUUUUAAUCAUGUUUUCUCAAAGUAACUUAUUUUUUACUCCACAUAUAUAAGUGUUCUUUAUUGAAAUAUACUGUACUUGCUUCGUCCUGCAGUUUCUGUUGAUGCAAAUCAGUCAUCUGUGACAAGGAUCUUUUCAGUUAAGAUGGCUCAAAUAUGUGUUUACCUGAGCAAAUUACUUAAUAUUUCCAUGAUAAAACUGAAUGAAAACUUAUUUCAAUGCUCUAAUACCAUAUCAAAUCAGUCAGUUUUGCUGAAAACAUGUUUCUACAUAUUGGAGACUUAUAUUGGCAAAGUUUGGUGUAUACUGGUUAAGCCAAUAAUUAGUUACAUUGUGUUUUAUUAGCCGAUAAAAGGUUUAUUUUUAAAUAUUAGCUUUUAAACUGUUUUCAUCAUGUUUUCUCAAAGUAACUUAUUUUUUACUGCACGUAUAUAAGUGUUCUUUAUUGAAAUACAGUUGCUUUGUCCUGCAGUUUCUGUUGAUGCAAAGUCAGUCAUCUGUGACAAGGAUCUUUUCAGUUAAGAUGGUUCAAAUAUGUGUUUACCUGAGCAAAUUACUUAAUAUUUCCAUGAUAAAACUUAAUGAAAACUUAUUUCAAUGCUCUAAUACCAUAUCAAAUCAGUCAGUUUUGCUGAAAUAAUGUUUCUACAUAUUGGAGACUUAUAUUGGCAAAGUUUGGUGUAUACUGGUUAAGCCAAUAAUUAGUUACAUUGUGUUUUAUUAGCCGAUAAAAGGUUUAUUUUUAAAUUUUAGCUUUUAAACUGUUUUCAUCAUGUUUUCUCAAAGUAACUUAUUUUUUAUUGCACAUAUAUAAGUGUUCUUUAUUGAAACAUACUGCACUUGCUUCGUCCUGCAGUUUCUGUUGAUGCAAAUCAGUCAUCUGUGACAAUGAUCUUUCCAGUUAGGGUGGCUCAAAUACUGUAUGUGUUUACCUGAGCAAAUUACUUAAUAUUUCCAUGAUGAAACUGAAUGAAAACUUAUUUCAAUGCUCUAAUACCAUAUCAAAUCAGUCAGUUUUGCUGAAAACAUGUUUCUACAUAUUGGAGACUUGUAUUGGCAAAGUUUGGUGUAUACUGGUUAAGCCAAUAAUUAGUUACAUUGCGUUUUAUUAGCCGAUAAAAGGUUUAUUUUUAAAUUUUAGCUUUUAAACUGUUUUCAUCAUGUUUUCUCAAAGUAACUUAUUUUUUACUGCACGUAUAUAAGUGUUCUUUAUUCAAAUACAGUUGCUUCGUCCUGCAGUUUCUGUUGAUGCAAAGUCAGUCAUCUGUGACAAGGAUCUUUUCAGUUAAGAUGGUUCAAAUAUGUGUUUACCUGAGCAAAUUACUUAAUAUUUCCAUGAUAAAACUGAAUGAAAACUUAUUUCAAUGCUCUAAUACCAUAUCAAAUCAGUCAGUUUUGCUGAAAACAUGUUUCUACAUAUUGGAGACUUAUAUUGGCAAAGUUUGGUGUAUACUGGUUAAGCCAAUAAUUAGUUACAUUGUGUUUUAUUAGCCGAUAAAAGGUUUAUUUUUAAAUUUUAGCUUUUAAACUGUUUUCAUCAUGUUUUCUCAAAGUAACUUAUUUUUUAUUGCACAUAUAUAAGUGUUCUUUAUUGAAACAUACUGCACUUGCUUCGUCCUGCAGUUUCUGUUGAUGCAAAUCAGUCAUCUGUUGUUUGUUUUUUAGAAUUGGAUCAAAAAGGUGGUUGCAGGUAUUCAGAUCCUGGAAUGCUGUGAAAUGGCCCUGCUGGACCUGUUGGAACAUUCUAUUGGGUGAACAUCAAAUGAUGUGUGGAGUGAAAUGAAAUGAAAUUUCGAUUCAGUGUGACUGAUAGAAUUGGAAUGGUAUAGAUAAUGAUGAUUUUAGUGAAUUAUGUUAUAUGAUGAUGCAUGGACUGUGAUGAUGUUGGUGAAGCUUGAUUUAUAACAUAGAUAUAAAGUGAUGAUACUGGUGAUAUAUGAGUUGUAAAUUGAUAUGAAAUAUAAGUGAUACAUAAGUCUGACUACUUCUUAAUUAAUAGUCGAGGAACUACAUACCAGCACAAAUGGGAACCGAACUUUGUUAUUCACAAAGAAACUAUACUAAAAUGUGUUCGCAAUUAAAAGUUAUUUUGUUAUUGUUGGAAUAUAGGCUGAUUUACACUAUCAAGGUUUCUGAGAUUUGAUUUUGAAUUAGAAGGAUUUGUUAGAAAUGUUUCAGGGAAUUUUAGAAACGUUACGGACUAACGCCCGUAUUCUAAAAGCUCACUCACACUCAGAGUGGACAUUCAAUCUGAGCUUCUCUCGAGUGUCAAUGCUGUUUUUGAAUCGCUGGAGGGUUAGUGUCGUACCUUACUACGUGACUACUAACCAUCCAGCUAUUCCGGAUUCAACCUCCGCUCAUUGUGUGUGAGUGAGCUUUUAGAAUACGGGCGUUAGUGUUUAUCACUGACCCAGUUUCGUCAAACAUUUCUUACAAAUGCUUCAAAAACUUAGAAUUCAGCUAUGCAAAAUUCCUACUGUGAUCACGGAAACUUUGAUAGUGUAAAACCCGUCCUUAUCGUUCUGUUAUAGUUAACAAAACAAUGACAUUUUAUCGCACUGUCCUUCAGCAGUAAUAGUGUCAGUACUUGUUAUAUAAUUAGAGAGGUUCAGAUUUGACUUCCAAUACCCGACUUACUACUGUACUACCUCUUCACUGGCGUAGUACAAAUUUGAUUGGUUUAUGGCUCCUUAUAAAGGUAGUGGCAGUGCAAGUCAUAUCUGAAACUCUUUCAAAAUUUUCCUAAAAAUGUGGUGACAUUUAAAAGUUAUUUCGCUAUAGUAUAAAAUAUCGUUUUGUUAUAUAGUUGACAAAGCAGUGACAUUUAUUGCAUUGUUGUACAGUAGUAACAGUACCUAUAGGUAUUAUAUUCUUAGGGAGGUUCACAUUUGACUUCCAAUACCACUACCUUCACUGGCUUAGACUUAAUACACAUCUGAUUGGUUAGCAGUCAUUAACGGUAGUGGUAAUGGUAGUGAAAGUCGAAUAUGAACCUUUCUAUAAAUAGUCGAGGAACUACAAUAAUCAAAAUCAAGUGGCGACAAUUAAAAAGUUAUUUUGUUAUAUUUAAAACAUGGUUGUGUUAUUAUAGUUGAAAAAAACAGUGACCUCUGAUUGCGUCUGGA